UCCUACGGGAGGCAGCAGUGGGGAAUAUUGGACAAUGGGCGCAAGCCUGAUCCAGCCAUACCGCGUGUGUGAAGAAGGCCUUCGGGUUGUAAAGCACUUUAAGUAAGGAAGAAAAGUAUAUUGUUAAUACCAAUGUACCGUGACAUUACUUACAGAAUAAGGACCGGCUAAUUCCGUGCCAGCAGCCGCGGUAAUACGGAAGGUCCAAGCGUUAAUCGGAAUUACUGGGCGUAAAGCGCGCGUAGGUGGUUUAUUAAGUUGGGUGUGAAAGCCCCGGGCUCAACCUGGGAACUGCAUCCAAAACUGAUUCACUAGAGUACGAAAGAGGGAGGUAGAAUUCACAGUGUAGCGGUGGAAUGCGUAGAUAUUGUGAAGAAUACCAAUGGCGAAGGCAGCCUCCUGGUUCUGUACUGACACUGAGGUGCGAAAGCGUGGGUAGCGAACAGGAUUAGAUACCCUGGUAGUCCACGCCGUAAACGAUGACAACCAGCUGUUGGGAAGCAAUGCUUUUCAGUGGCGCAGCUAACGUCUUAAGUUGUCCGCCUGGGGAGUACGGCCGCAAGGUUAAAACUCA
rnacentral:rRNA from 1 species